CCCUUUUCUGUGGAGUCUUUCCUGUGAACUUGGAUCUUUGGAUACAGCAAAGGACAAACAAUGGGAAAGAAUUAUCUGCCAUCUUACUGAUACUCAAAAAGAUGCCAGCAGCUUCACAGAAAACCUGCAGUACUGACAACUGAUGAACCGUUUCUCCAUUUGUUUUCAAGCAAAUGCUUUUCUUAUGAAAAAGAAAACUCCUGUUGUCAACUACCACAGUGGCGAAGAGCCUUUGUGCAGCUGCUUUGACUAUACACACAGUGAAAAGACUUUGAGACUAGCAACAUCUCUUGCCUGCUUAGCACCCCUUCACCUUAGACUUGCUCCCCGAGGCAAACUUCCCUCAGCUUCCCAACAUCCUGUGAUGACCUAGAGUAUCCUUCAAGACACUUGUGAGAGUGAUUAGAUUUUCUUACAACUAACAGUUUUGAGAGAAAAAUACUGUUCUUGUUGGUUGUCCUGCAUGUUUUCUAAUUCUUUGUGUUCAUUAUUGCUAUUGUUUGAUUCCUUGUGAAUUAUGUAUCACCUUGUUACUUUUUGAAGAGGGAGAGG